AAUUGGUAAGCAAGUAGAGGGAGAAAGAUAGAAGCCAACAAGAAUGUGACUUUACUCCACUCCCACUGCUCCACUUGACCAGCCUUAA
rnacentral:sRNA from 1 species